rnacentral:lncRNA from 10 species
AAGCGGCUGUCACAAAGGCCAGACCCAAAUGCCAUGUUAAGAGAUGGAUGAAGACUAGGAACUGUAGAGAAGGGUAGAACCAGUGUUAACUUCAGCUGAUGUACAUGCUUCUGCCAAAUAAAACUGCACAGCAGUAAAACAGGCAGAGAAGAAAGAAUCAACAGCAAAGGUAGAACUGGAACCAUGGAAAUCUCCAGGAGAGAGAUGAGGAAACUGAGGUGAAGGAGAAUAUGUAAUUUGCUCAGGUGAGUAGGUGGCUACCACAAACCAGGGUAGGAAUAGAAGAGGGUUGGAGAAAAAUACUGGUCUACACUGGGGCAUGUAAGUAUGAAGGUGCUUAUGGUACAUCCAGGUGGGGUGGAGGGCUU